GACUGAACCUCUGAAAGUGUAAGCCAGCCCCAAUUAAAUGUUGUUUUCUACAAGAGUUGCUUUGGUCAUGGUGUGUCUUCAGAGCAGCGGGAACCCUAACUGGAUCAGCCCCUUCUCCCUUUGCUGCCUGGCCACUUGGCAGCUUCUCUGGGGGAAAUGCUGGCUGUGUUCGCCUCUCUGCUAUAAGGCACUGCUCUGCCUUUUAACUCCAAGCAAUGUCUGGAGCUACAGCAACCUUCUUGGACAAUUAGACAACAAAAUGUAAAUGUUGGUCACCCAAUGGCUGAGCAGAAAAGAGGAGAGGAGAGUCAGCUCACAGGGAAGAUGGAGGAAUUGGGGCAACGAAGAAGGGGUCUGAAGAGUCAGAUCAAUAAUAAUACGCAAGUAUCUUAGGAUGGGGCUGGGAGGUAGAAGAUUAGCAUAGAAGUUAAGGUGCAUCUUUCAUUUAACUGCUCAGCUGUCCAGGUGCAGUCUUAAAUCUUGGCUUCUCUGCAAAGUUAUUGGGAUUAGCAUAAGGUAAAUCAAUACAGCCACUGGAUUAAUUCACUGUUUACAUUUAUAUUAGGGAUAAUUAAUUCAUUUUCAGAAUCUAACUUGCACCCGUUUCUCCUAGGACCAUGCUUAAUCUUUUGUAACCCUUGAAUCCAUUUGUGUGACUGUCACAGGGUGGUCCUACUCUCUACAAGGCCAACACAAGUGAGAACCUGUGCUCA
rnacentral:lncRNA from 1 species